CUUUCAGAAACACUACCACUACCACUACCACUACCAAUACUACUACCACUACCACUACCACUACCACUACCACUACCACUACCAAUACCACUACCAAUACCACUACCACUACCACUACCAAUACUACUACCACUACCACUACCACUACCACUACCACUACCACUACCACUACCAAUACCACUACCAAUACCACUACCACUACCACUACCACUACCACUACCAAUACCACUACCACUACCACUACCAAUACCACUACCAAUACCACUACCAAUACCACUACCACUACCACUACCAAUACCACUACCACUACCACUACCACUACCAAUACCACUACCACUACCACUACCAAUACCACUACCACUACCACUACCAAUACCACUACCACUACCACUACCACUACCACUACCAAUACCACUACCACUACCAAUACCACUACCACUACCACCACCACUACCACUACCACCACCACUACCACUACCACUACCAAUACCACUACCACUACCACUACCACUACCAAUACCACUACCACUACCAAUACCACUACCACUACCACUACCAAUACCACUACCACUACCACUACCAAUACUACUACCACUACCAAUACCACUACCACUACCAAUACUACUACCACUACCACUACCACUACCAAAACCACUACCACUACCAAUACCACUACCACUACCAAUACCACUACCACUACCACUACCACUACCAAUACCACUACCACUACCACUACCACUACCACUACCAAUACCUCUACCAAUACCACUACCACUACCACUACCAAUACCUCUACCACUACCACUACCACUACCAAUACCACUACCACUACCAAUACCACUACCACUACCAAUACCACUACCACUACCACUACCAAUACCACUACCACUACCACUACCACCACCACCACCACUACCACUACCACUACCACUACCAAUACCACUACCACUACCACUACCACCACCACUACCACUACCACUACCACCACCACUACCACUUCCAAUACCACUACCACCACCACUACCACUACCACCACCAAUACCACUACCACUACCACUACCAAUACCACUACCACUAGGAUAUAUCAUUUUUUUAAUGAAGAUCCCUAAUGUAUUAUGUGUAGUCAUUCUGGAAGUACUAUUUGUUCAUUUGGCUAUUUGA
ensembl:lncRNA